UACGGAGGGAGCUAGCGUUGUUCGGAAUUACUGGGCGUAAAGCGCACGUAGGCGGCUUUGUAAGUUAGAGGUGAAAGCCCGGGGCUCAACUCCGGAACUGCCUUUAAGACUGCAUCGCUUGAAUCCAGGAGAGGUGAGUGGAAUUCCGAGUGUAGAGGUGAAAUUCGUAGAUAUUCGGAAGAACACCAGUGGCGAAGGCGGCUCACUGGACUGGUAUUGACGCUGAGGAGCGAAAGCGUGGGGAGCAAACAGG
rnacentral:rRNA from 1 species